CAGGAAAUUAAUGUAUCUUCUCAUAAGCCACCAUAAGUCACAGUUUUUAAUUAGAGGUAAAACAGUUUAAUACAAAUUUUGUUAUAUCCUAUCUCAUUGUUCUUUGUAUUUGUAUUUUUAGUUCUUUAUUGUUUAAACUUUUCAUUUAAAAAUUAAGUAGAUCAAAAUUGUUUUCGCCAAUUAAAAGAUAAUAGCAGCAUUGUUUUAGCAUGGUCCUAUGUAGACUUUUAUUUGUAUUAUUUUAAAAUUAUUAAUUCUGCAGCUUUUUACUAAAAUAUACUGUUACAUAUAUUUUGAAAGCUUGUGAAGGACGAAGAUAAUUUUUUUGACAAGUAUACAGGGUGAGUGAUGAAAAUAUUAAGAAAAAACUUAUGCUUCUGUUUUUAUUUUUUUUUCAGACUACUGUACCUUAGAACUAAGAGGGCUGGGAUAAUACACUUAUCACAGUCCUCUUCCUCAUAUCUGUAAUUGAAUUGUAUUAAUCAAUAAGAAACCAUCUAUUGCGAGAAUCUCAACUUUUUCUCGAUCUGCGUUCAUAAGCUAGAAACUCCCUAAAGCACGAACGAAUGAAAAUUAUACACCCUGUACAGGUUAGCAAUUUACUUUGUCCAAUAUUUAACAGACUUUAUAAUAGCAGUGGUAUAAACAGUGGACAAAAAAAAUAUUUUCUCUAUUUUUUUUUAUUAAUAUUUCUAUUUGUGAAAUAUCGACCAUUGUUUAGUUUUUUUUUAAAUAGGACACUUCAUGUGUAUUUAUCUAGAAAUUAAUUUGUCUUUUUACAAGCUUCCAAAAAUUCAUUUUAUAUUAGUCUCCUAAAUAUUUGCAAAAGGCCAUGCACACAAUGCUGCCCCUUGGCUGUGAUUAUAUGAUUAUAUAUUUUUUCUUUGUUUUCUUUACUGUAUAUUUUUGAACGGUGUUGAUUAAUCCAUUCAAGUGAUCUAUUUAGUUCUUAUCAAAUAUACAGGGUAUCUUAUUUAAAAAUUAACUAAACAUGGUCUUGAUAGAUAAAAUUAGAUGGUAUUAGAUAAUGAACGAUUCGUAUACAUGUUAUGCUAACGAUAUACGAGGGGUGUCUGACGAUAUACGAGGGCAGUCUUCUUCUUAUCGUCCUGUAGCAUGGAAAUUAAGAAGGCUAUGUUGAUUUCGCUUAAAAGUAACUCAAAUUUACACAAACCGCAAGAUUCUAUCUUUAUUAAUCAAAAUAUGUAGUUUGGAGCGUAGCGUUUAGAGUUAACAGCGUUAGAGUUAUAAUGAUGGCAUUUGAUUUUUGGGUUGAUGACAUUUGAUUUUUAUAUAAAACAUCAUCGAUUGCCAUUUUCAAGCCAACGUUGACGCCUUAUUUUUGCGAUAAAUUUUAUUUGUUGUUUAUUUUCCUGUAGCAGACACGUUUUACGAACUCGCUGUAAGAAACUUACAGCAAGUUCUUACUUUUUAGAACUUGCUGUAAGAGGCAGCGCGUUCUAAAGGCCGGUUUACACGGUGCUGCUCAAAAUUAAUCACUCAUCACUCAAGUGCUGCCAUAUAAGUGUAGUUUAUGGAUGCUGCGCGCAUCUCACUUGUACGCUGUUUGUAUCGUAUCAACUGUUUUAUCCAAGUUGAGUUGGAAAGCUUCAUAUCAUCCUACAAAGCUUUCCAAUUCGACUUUGAUAAAA